rfam:Bacillus infantis NRRL B-14911, complete genome.
UAAAUAUACAGGCAAAUUCAUCGAAAGGUGAAGACGCAAAACUAUAGGGGCUAAAGCCAAAAGGCUAUGUCUGCCAGUUACCGAU